rnacentral:rRNA from 1 species
CCCGCUGAACUUAAGCAUAUCAAUAAGCGGAGGAAAAGAAACUAACAAGGAUUCCCUUAGUAACUGCGAGUGAAGAGGGAAAAGCUCAAAUUUAAAAUCUGGCAGUGUUUCACUGUCCGAGUUGUAACCUAGAGAAGUGUAACCUGCGCUGGACCGUGUAUAAGUCUCCUGGAAUGGAGCAUCACAGAGGGUGAGAAUCCCGUCUUUGACACGGACUGCCAGGGCUAUGUGAUGCGCUCUCGACGAGUCGAGUUGUUUGGGAAUGCAGCUCAAAUAGGGUGGUAAAUUCCAUCUAAAGCUAAAUACAGGCGAGAGACCGAUAGCGAACAAGUACCGUGAGGGAAAGAUGAAAAGAACUUUGGAAAGAGAGUUAAACAGUACGUGAAAUUGCUGAAAGGGAAACGCUUGAUGUCAGUCGCGUCGUCCGGGGAUCAGCCUUGCUCUUUUGCUCGGUGUAUUUCCUGGUCGACGGGUCAGCAUCGGUUUUGACCGUCGGAAAAUGGCUCGAGGAAUGUGGCACCCUUCGGGGUGUGUUAUAGACUCGGGUCGAAUACGGCGAUUGGGACCGAGGAACUCAGCACGACCUUAGGGUUCGGGGCUUCGGCCCACGUUAACGUGCUUAGGAUGCUGGCAUAAUGGCCUUAAGCGACCCGUCUUGAAACACGG